rnacentral:lncRNA from 1 species
UUGCCCCGUCUAGAUUCCUCUCUUACAGCUCGAGCGGCCUUCUCAGUCGAACCGUUCACGUUGCGAGCUGCUGGCGGCCGCAACAUUUUGGCGCCAGAACUGGGACCUGAAGAAUGGCAGAGAGAUGCUAAGAGGAACGCUGCAUUGGAGCUCCACAGGAAAGGAUCUUCGUAUCGGACAUCGGAGCAACGGACAAGUACACAUGCUAGCGCUAGCUUAAAAUUUCAGUUUUGUAAAGUGUUGCUGAGGAUGCGGUAGGAUACGAAUUAAGCUUGAAUCAGUGCUAACCCAACGCUGGUUCUGCUUGGGUCAGCAGCGUGUUAAUCGGAACUAGAAACGGAAACAGGCAGGUUAGCCGCAGCUUUUUAGGAAGCUGCUUAGGUGGAAGAAGAAAGGGUUUAAAGUCAUGGAUCAGGCGGUAGGCCGUAGCUCUCCGAAGCUACAUGAGGUGUGAGAAAAGAAAGGGUUUAUUAAAAGGAAUAGGCGUAUUGCCCCAGUUAAUAAAAAAUGCAUCAUAAGGGAGGAAAAUGUCCCAAAAAGCAGAGAGAAAUAUCUCUCUGGGCCUUAUAGCAGGAGUACUCUGUUACCUUUUGUGUCUUGUCUAAUGUCCGGUGCACCAAUCUGUUCUCGUGUUCGAUUCAUGUAUGUUCGUGUCCAGUCUGUAUGAAUGAAUGUUCUAUGUUUUGUGUUGGAUAAUAAAGAUGGUAUAAAAAACUUUAUCUGCAAAGCCGAGAGCUGCCACGUGUUUCAGCCAGGAAUCAGACACGUGGCGAGAGGGCCCCUGCUGGAAAAACUGUUCGUUUUAGGAAAUAAGGGCGAGUGCACAGCCUCUAAGUUUCAGAGUAAAAAAGCUAAUAAAUGGUUCAUGAUUAAUGUG